rfam:Lipomyces starkeyi NRRL Y-11557 unplaced genomic scaffold LIPSTscaffold_5, whole genome shotgun sequence.
GCGGGGUUAGCUCAGUUGGGAGAGCGUCAGACUGAAGCGUAAACUUUGGUUGUUGACAUCUGAAGGUCCUGUGUUCGAUCCACAGACAUCGCA